rnacentral:lncRNA from 1 species
CAAUAUUUUUAUACAUUUUUUGCAACAGAUUUCGAUGCAAUAGCAACAAAUUUUUUCUAAAAAAAUGAAAAGGUCAUUGCUGCAAAUACAAAUAGCCAGGCAUAUAGCCACAAAUUUCAAUUGUCAACAAAUUUCAACUGUCAAUUCAGAAUUCUAAUUAGCAUCAAGUAGCCAACAAUCCAAAAGCGGUACCAUGACUGUUACAAUAUAGUCUUACAAACCAUUUCAAGUCUAAAUUGCAUAUAUAAGUUAGCCAUCAAAGUCAAGGCUUAAUUGGAACAAAAGUAUGUAGUCUAAACGGAGAUA